ensembl:snRNA U6 U6 spliceosomal RNA
UGCUUGCUUCAGCAGCAAUAUACUAACAUUGGAAUUAUAUUGAUACAAAGAAAAUAAGCAUGGCCCCCGUGCUAGAUGACAUGCACAUUUGUGAAAGCAUUUCAUAUUUUU